AGAUUAUAAAACAACUUCUCUGUGGAAAUUUGCUCCAAGACAAGUUGUGAAAUUCUUACAGAAUAACAAUGCAGCAUUCAACAAUCACAAGAUAGGCAUCACACCACAGAAUUAUGUCAAGUACAGACGUCUAAAUGCUUUUUUCAGAAUCGUUUCAACCAGCAAAGAUCGCAACGGGGUUGAAUUUAUUUCAACUAUGGAAGGUAAGCGUUAUCCAGUCUACCUUUUACACUGGCACCCGGCUAAAUCCCAGUUUGAAUGGCGCAGAGAUAUGGAUAUUAAUCACUCGCUGGCAGAUGUUGUGUCAGGCCAGUAUUUCGCAAAUUUCCUAAUUCAAAAAGGUGAGCUUGAAAAU